GUGCCAGCCGCCGCGGUAAUACCGGCAGCCCGAGUGAUGGCCGAUCUUAUUGGGCCUAAAGCGUCCGUAGCUGGCCGCGCAAGUCCAUCGGGAAAUCCACCUGCUCAACAGGUGGGCGCCCGGUGGAAACUGUGCGGCUUGGGACCGGAAGGCGCGACGGGUACGUCCGGGGUAGGAGUGAAAUCCCGUAAUCCUGGACGGACCGCCGGUGGCGAAAGCGCCUCGAGAGGACGGACCCGACGGUGAGGGACGAAAGCUAGGGUCUCGAACCGGAUUAGAAACCCGUGUAGUCC
rnacentral:rRNA from 1 species